UACGUAGGGUGCAAGCGUUAAUCGGAAUUACUGGGCGUAAAGCGUGCGCAGGCGGUGAUGUAAGACAGAUGUGAAAUCCCCGGGCUCAACCUGGGAACUGCAUUUGUGACUGCAUCGCUGGAGUGCGGCAGAGGGGGAUGGAAUUCCGCGUGUAGCAGUGAAAUGCGUAGAUAUGCGGAGGAACACCGAUGGCGAAGGCAAUCCCCUGGGCCUGCACUGACACUCAUGCACGAAAGCGUGGGGAGCAAACAGG
rnacentral:rRNA from 1 species